AUUGAACGCUGGCGGCAGGCCUAACACAUGCAAGUCGAGCGGAGCGGCGGACGGGUGAGUAAUGUAUGGGGAUCUGCCCGUUCGUGGGGGAUAACUCCUUGAAACGGUGGCUAAUACCGCAUACUAUUGGAGCGGCCGCUCUCGGCCUAGCUAGUUGGUGGGGUAAAGGCUCACCAAGGCAACGAUCCGUAGCUGGUUUGCGAGGACGACCAGCCACACGGGGAAUGGGACACGGCCCAGACUCCUAAGGGAGGCAGCAGUGGGGAAUGUGGGACAAUGGGGGAAAGCCGGAUGCAGCCAGCCCGCGUGUAGGAUGAAGGCCUUAGGGUUGUAAAGUACUUUCGGCAGAGAAGCGGUAGCUGGAGAAUAAGCACCGGCUAACUACGUGCCAGCAGCCGCGGUAAUAC
rnacentral:rRNA from 1 species